rnacentral:rRNA from 1 species
GACGAACGCUGGCGGCGUGCCUAACACAUGCAAGUCGAGCGAUGAAACUCCUUCGGGAGUGGAUUAGCGGCGGACGGGUGAGUAACACGUGGGUAACCUGCCUUAUAGUGGGGAAUAGCCUUCCGAAAGGGAGAUUAAUACCGCAUAAGAUUGUAGUUUCGCAUGAAACAGCAAUUAAAGGAGCAAUUCGCUAUAAGAUGGACCCGCGUCGCAUUAGCUAGUUGGUGAGGUAGUGGCUCACCAAGGCCACGAUGCGUAGCCGACCUGAGAGGGUGAUCGGCCACAUUGGGACUGAGACACGGCCCAG